rnacentral:rRNA from 1 species
UACGGAAGGGGCAAGCGUUGUUCGGAAUCAUUGGGCGUAAGGGGCGCGUAGGUGGUUCUGUAUGUCUACCGUGAAAGCGUACGGCUCAACCGUAUUUUGUCGGUAGAAACUGCAGGACUUGAGGCUGGGAGGGGCUGGUGGAAUUCCCUGUGUAGCGGUGAAAUGCGUAGAGAUGGGGGAGAACACUCGUGGCGAAGGCGGCCAGCUAGACCAGUUCUGACACUGAGGCGCGACAGCGUGGGGAGCAAACAGG